rnacentral:rRNA from 1 species
UACGGAAGGCAGCAGUGGGGAAUAUUGCACAAUGGGCGCAAGCCUGAUGCAGCCAUGCCGCGUGUAUGAAAAAGGCCUUCGGGUUGUAAAGUACUUUCAGUCGUGAGGAAGGUGUUAAGGUUAAUAACCUUAGCAAUUGACGUUAGCGACAGAAGAAGCACCGGCUAACUCCGUGCCAGCAGCCGCGGUAAUACGGAGGGUGCGAGCGUUAAUCGGAAUUACUGGGCGUAAAGGGCACGCAGGCGGUUAAUUAAGUUGGAUGUGAAUCCCCGGGCUUAACCUGGGAAUGGCAUUCAAGACUGGUUAGCUAGAGUCUUGUAGAGGGGGUAGAAUUCCAUGUGUAGCGGUGAAAUGCGUAGAGAUGUGGAGGAAUACCGGUGGCGAAGGCGGCCCCGUGGACAAAGACUGACGCUCAUGUGCGAAAGCGUGGGGAGCAAACAGGGAUUAGAUACC